AGUGAACGCUGGCGGUAGGCCUAACACACGCAAGUCGAACGGCAGCACAGUAAGAGCUUGCUCUUACGGGUGGCGAGUGGCGGACGGGUGAGGAAUACAUCGGAAUCUGCUUUUUCGUGGGGGAUAACGUAGGGAAACUUACGCUAAUACCGCAUACGACCUACGGGUGAAAGCAGGGGAUCUUCGGACCUUGCGCGAUUGAAUGAGCCGAUGUCGGAUUAGCUAGUUGGCGGGGUAAAGGCCCACCAAGGCGACGAUCCGUAGCUGGUCUGAGAGGAUGAUCAGCCACACUGGAACUGAGACACGGUCCAGACUCCUACGGGAGGCAGCAGUGGGGAAUAUUGGACAAUGGGCGCAAGCCUGAUCCAGCCAUACCGCGUGGGUGAAGAAGGCCUUCGGGUUGUAAAGCCCUUUUGUUGGGAAAGAAAAGCAGCAGGUUAAUACCCCGCUGUUCUGACGGUACCCAAAGAAUAAGCACCGGCUAACUUCGUG
rnacentral:rRNA from 1 species